rnacentral:tRNA from 1 species
GGGGAUAUGGCGCAGCUGGCUAGCGCGCUUGACUGGCAGUCAAGAGGUCAGGGGUUCGAAUCCCCUUAUCUCCACCA